rnacentral:rRNA from 1 species
UUCCAGACUCCUACGGGAGGCAGCAGUGGGGGAUAUUGCACAAUGGGGGAAACCCUGAUGCAGCGACGCCGCGUGGGUGAAGAAGCGCCUCGGCGCGUAAAGCCCUGUCAGCAGGGAAGAAAAUGACGGUACCUGAAGAAGAAGCCCCGGCUAACUACGUGCCAGCAGCCGCGGUAAUACGUAGGUGGCAAGCGUUGUCCGGAUUUACUGGGGGUAAAGGGCGUGUAGCCGGGCUGACAAGUCAGAUGUGAAAUCCGGGGGCUCAACCCCCGAACUGCAUUUGAAACUGUUGGUCUAGAGUAUCGGAGAGGCAGGCGGAAUUCCUAGUGUAGCGGUGAAAUGCGUAGAUAUUAGGAGGAACACCAGUGGCGAAGGCGGCCUGCUGGACGACAACUGACGGUGAGGCGCGAAAGCGUGGGGAGCAAGCAGGAUUAGAUACCCCCGUACUC